GUGACUAAUCCGCUAUACGAUCCUGGUAAAAACUAUCGUUUUGAUUUCGCUUCCUCUGGUAUGCGCGUCUUAAAGGUUGCUGUAGAUAUUCCGCCUCUUCAAUUUGGUGGAGUUAGUUACUUUUGAUAACGCGAUUGCUGGGCAUUCUUAAGUAGUGUCACUUAUCAGUUCUUAAAUGCAGACACAAAGCCCUUUCCAGAACAGCAGGUGUAACAAAUAAAUCGAUGGUUUAAUAGCACCUGAUAUCAUCAGUCAGUUUUAUUCAUAUUGGACAAAGGGGAAAAACUUCUUCUCUCCGAAAGAGGCAGCCAAGUUAACCUGGCUAUUUUAAAAGGAGGUAUGUAAUUUGGAUGUUGUUGACAGUCUUUGUAUAUGUGGAGCUUAUAUUUUACUAUAGCUGUUCCGAAUAAAUUGCACUGGUGUCAAAAGUAUUCACAUUCAUUACUCAAGUAGAUGUAUAGAUACUAGGGUUUAAAAAGACUUUUGUAGAAGUUUAAGUAUCAACUUAAGUUUUUUACUCUAGUAAAAGUGUAAAAGUACUGGUUUCAAAACUACUUAAAGUAUAAAAGUAAAAGUAAUGCAAGGAAAAAAAAAUGCCAUUAAGCACAAAAGCUUAGGUUGCGCCACAGGGGCCUAUUGUGCACUA